rnacentral:rRNA from 1 species
AUAUGGGGCAGUGGGCGAAAGUCUGAUCGAGCCAUUCCGCGUGUGUGAAGAGGGUCUUCGUCUCGUAAAGCACUGUAUGUUGGGAGAAAGGGCAGUAUGAUACUACCGUGAUGUUUUGAUGUUACCGUCAGAAUAAGCUGCGGAUAACUUCGUUCCAUCAGCCUCGGUAAGACGAUGGGUGCAAGGGUUAAUCGGAAUUACUGUGCGUAAAGCGGGCGUCGGUGGUUUGUUAAGUUGGAAGUGAAAGCCCAGAGCCAAACCUGGGAACUGCUUUCAAAUCUGGCAAGAGAGAGUAUGGCAGAGGGUGGUGGAAUUUCCUGUGUCGCUGUGAAAUGCGUAGAUAUAGGAAGGAACCCCAGUCGCGAAGGCGACCACCUGGGCUAAUACUGACACUACGGUGCGAACGCGUGCAGACCAAACA